AACGAACGCUGGCGGCAUGCCUAACACAUGCAAGUCGAACGAGACCUUCGGGUCUUGUUGCGCACGUGUUCGUAACGCGUGGGAACCUUCCCUUAGGUUCGGAAUACCUUCCCGCAAGGGGUGCUAAUUCCGGAUAAUGUCUUCUCCCCCAAGAUUUAUCGCCUUUGGAUUUGCCCGCUUUGGAUUUGCUAUUUGGUAGGGUAAAAGCCUACCCAGGCUACGAUGCAUAGCUGGUCUGAGAGGAUGAUCAGCCACACUGGGGCUGUGACACGGCCCGGACUCCUACGGGAGGCAGCAGUGGGGAAUAGUGGAAAAUGGGGGAAAGAAUGAUGCGGCAAGGCCGCGAGAGUGAUGAAGGCAUUAAGGAUGUAAAGCUCUUUUAACCGGGAAGAUAAUGACAGUACCGAGAGAAUAAGCGCCGGCUAACUACGUG
rnacentral:rRNA from 1 species